AUACAUGCAAGUCGAGCGGACAGAAGGGAGCUUGCUCCCGGAUGUUAGCGGCGGACGGGUGAGUAACACGUGGGUAACCUGCCUGUAAGACUGGGAUAACUCCGGGAAACCGGAGCUAAUACCGGAUAGUUCCUUGAACCGCAUGGUUCAAGGAUGAAAGACGGUUUCGGCUGUCACUUACAGAUGGACCCGCGGCGCAUUAGCUAGUUGGUGGGGUAAUGGCUCACCAAGGCGACGAUGCGUAGCCGACCUGAGAGGGUGAUCGGCCACACUGGGACUGAGACACGGCCCAGACUCCUACGGGAGGCAGCAGUAGGGAAUCUUCCGCAAUGGACGAAAGUCUGACGGAGCAACGCCGCGUGAGUGAUGAAGGUUUUCGGAUCGUAAAGCUCUGUUGUUAGGGAAGAACAAGUGCGAGAGUAACUGCUCGCACCUUGACGGUACCUAACCAGAAAGCCACGGCUAACUACGUGCCAGCAGCCGCGGUAAUACGUAGGUGGCAAGCGUUGUCCGGAAUUAUUGGGCGUAAAGGGCUCGCAGGCGGUUUCUUAAGUCUGAUGUGAAAGCCCCCGGCUCAACCGGGGAGGGUCAUUGGAAACUGGGAAACUUGAGUGCAGAAGAGGAGAGUGGAAUUCCACGUGUAGCGGUGAAAUGCGUAGAGAUGUGGAGGAACACCAGUGGCGAAGGCGACUCUCUGGUCUGUAACUGACGCUGAGGAGCGAAAGCGUGGGGAGCGAACAGGAUUAGAUACCCUGGUAGUCCACGCCGUAAACGAUGAGUGCUAAGUGUUAGGGGGUUUCCGCCCCUUAGUGCUGCAGCUAACGCAUUAAGCACUCCGCCUGGGGAGUACGGUCGCAAGACUGAAACUCAAAGGAAUUGACGGGGGCCCGCACAAGCGGUGGAGCAUGUGGUUUAAUUCGAAGCAACGCGAAGAACCUUACCAGGUCUUGACAUCCUCUGACAACCCUAGAGAUAGGGCUUUCCCUUCGGGGACAGAGUGACAGGUGGUGCAUGGUUGUCGUCAGCUCGUGUCGUGAGAUGUUGGGGUUAAGUCCCGCAACGAGCGCAACCCUUGAUCUUAGUUGCCAGCAUUCAGUUGGGCACUCUAAGGUGACUGCCGGUGACAAACCCGAGGAA
rnacentral:rRNA from 1 species